CCCGGCUCGGCUGAACUUCUUUUACCGGGCCGCCCUCCCUAUCGACCUGAGUCCGCCCGGCGGCGCCUCCGAUCCUCCCCCACCCACGCCCGCGGCCGCUUCCCCUCUGCCACCGCAGCCGCUGCGCGAUCCCAACCUCCCUGCGGAGUGCCCGUCGCCGUAGGAUCCCGCCGGAGCGCCGCCGCUGCUGCCUCUCUGCUCUGGUUCUGGUCCACUACCCCAACCUCCCUGCUGAGCCCGUCGCCGGAUCCCGCCGGAGCGCCACCGCCUCCGCCUCUCUACUCCGCAGUGAGACCAACGCCGGCGACAGGCUCAUCGUCGCCGACUUCUUCUCACCUGGCUGCGCCGACUGCCAUGCGCUCCACCCCAAGGGCUUUCCAGCAAUGGAACCAUUGAUUCUGUGGUAUCUGAAGUGCAAACUAAAGCAAUAGUACAAGCAAGUGUUGCGGCAGGAGCAUUGGGAGGAGACUGGGAGCGGUUUCGAAGCAAAGAAGCUGAUAAUACAAACACCUCGAUGAAGAAGCGCAAGAAGAGUGAGACGUUGGACAUCACAGAUGCUGAAGACGCAGCUACAAGAUCAGUGAAGGCUAGGAAAGAUGAUGCUUCUACCCUCUGAAGAGAGGAAUCAUGGUGAACUGCUGCUCGGCUAGGAAAGAUGAUGCUUCUACAAAGUAGGCUCGCAGCCUUGUUUGCUGAUAUUGGAGAUAUAUUGUGGUCGUUUUUGGAUGAUCUUACCUUUCCUCACUUAGCAUAUUGCGAUCAAUUAGCUUUCCUUGUUAACCAGAGAGGGGCACGUUUAACGGUUUAAACUGGAGUUAGAGCACGGUAGUAAGCACACUGCACUUUAUCAGUCUACCUCCUUGUUCGUAAUCAGAUUUUUCGGUUCCA